GUAAACAUAACAAUAAUUUUUGUUAAUUAAUUUACUUUUUGUAUAACUUAACAUUUAAUUUGUCAGGUAGAAGCGGCAAAGGAAGAAGCUCAGCUACUGGUGCCCUAGGGGACAACAUGAACGACAUUCGACCAUGUCAGACACGUUCUUAAAAAAACAAGAGAAUACGCCUCGGUUGUGACCAUAACUGAGGCAGAAAACCCUUUACAACAUCGGUGUAAGCCACAACCGAAACAUAAAGUCUGGCGAAAAAGAAAAAAAAAAGAAUAAAAAACACCCUACUACCUCGGUUCUGGUUUCAACCGAGGCAAUAGAGGACAACAUACUACCUCGGUUCAAAAGGAACCGAGGCGUAAAGUCCCUCCAAAAAAAAAAAUAAAAAAACAAAAAACCUAUUACAUCAGUUCCCUUUGAACUGAGACAAAAUCCUAUACUUUUUUGCCUCGAUUCACAACCGCUGCCUAUGAAUAAAAAUAACUGUUGUCGUUUUCC
rnacentral:lncRNA from 1 species